UGGGCCUUAGGGGAGAGCAUCCAACCAAGACAUGUGUCUUAAGUUCUAAGCAGAGUCCUCACUGCGGCCUCUGCCAGCAGAACCCCACUGGCCAGGCGUGAGCUGUCCUCUGAAAUGCCCAGAGGCCAAAAUGUUCUUUGGAGGAUCUUAUUCAGCUGAACUGCAAUGCUGUCUCCACCUCCCUAGCUGCUGGGAUUAUACAGGCGUGGGCCACCACAUCUGGCUUCAAUGUUGUCAGCCCUGGGUGGCGUCAGGGAUGCCAGGAACAGGAGAACCAGAAGAGGCUGUUGACAUGCUCAGGGAGAGAGCAAGAACUGGUUAAAGCCUCAGACACCAGCCUGUCUGACCACAGAGCCUAAGAUGCGUGAAGACAGAGAUUCGAUCAAAUGUGGCUUCCAGCUGUAUCCGCAGGUCUCAAGACUGACACCCUGUGAAUACUAGCGAAAGAAACAGAUACCUGGAUGCCACCACUCUUUGGCUCAGUGACUGUCAGUGUCUCCCGGCUGUAGUCAAGGUAUUAAACCUAGGCUUCUUGCUCUGCCCUGGGAGGGAAGUGACUGUCACUCACAGAACAAGCAGGGACACAUUAUGCAGGUCAAAGGGGAUGCUGCAAACCAGUAUCUUAGAACAACAAGAACACAACAGACUUUUCUUUUUCAAACAGGGAGGCAUAGCUGCCACACUUGUCCGAAGCCCAGGGAACGGUGUCUGUCUUUCUCUCUGGCUUCCUUCUCCGACCCACUCCCUCUCUGAGCCAUCUGCAGUUUCGCCCUUCAACCCAGAGAAGUCCUUUGAGUAGCUGGAGCUAGCUCGUUAUUGUGGCCCCACAUUGAACACUACCUGCCCAAGAGCCCUUCCCUGACCACACAUUCCCACUCAAACCACCUCCAUCUCAAAGUUGUGACUUGUGCCCCACCCCGCCCCCGCCCCCUUGCUCUCAGCUCUGUGUCUGAGAUCCCUUCUUUGGCGCUGGCAGGCAGGAUGCAUUGAAUUCCCCCAGGCACCUGUCAGCUUCUAGGGAGGUGUUUCUGAGGGUAAACUGACUCUAUCUGGGGAGGUACAGGGAGCAGGGAAGGAAAGACGACUGACUGUGCCUACGAAGUCACCCCAGAAAUCAGAAUUACUUUCUCCUCAGUCCCCCAGUUGUUUCAUCUGAGAGGACUCUGGGGGCCGAGUCUGAAUAAAGAUUACAAACCACCUUCCCCACCCAUCUCCAGCCUGGAAUUCCCAACAGACAGGCAGGGUUCGCACAGACAAAAGGCAUCACUACAUGCAUUUAUGAUUUGCCUAAUUAUCUCUGUCCUCCCCGAUACUACAGCUCCAUAAACUUGUCACAGUUGUGUUUGUCCUUUGGCACUAGGUUGCUAUGCGCACACAUGUGGAUGUUUGUUUACAGAAUGUGGCCAGCAGCAGGGCCUUCAUGUGGGCUGACAACACCCCGUUUGGCUGCCCCAGGGGACUGGCCCCCCGCCAGGAUUCCCAGACAGAUUACUGAUCUCAAUUCUCUAUUCCUCCCUGCCCCCCAAGCACUAGGGAUGAAGCCCAAGACCCUGAACAAGCUAGACCAGCACUCUACCACUGAGCCACAUC